rnacentral:lncRNA from 1 species
GAACCCUAUGGCACAAGCCUCAAACCCACACGCACAAGUAGAUAUGGAAUCCAAAGAUUUGAUAAACCCACCUCCUAUGGCACCCCACACUUAGAGAAGCUGAAACACCAAUGAUCGAAGGAUUUAGAUGAGAAUCUGACAAACGCCACAAUGAAUAGUUGAUAAGUAAGCCAAGAUUCCUGGUGCAAUUGAUGAAAGCAAAUCCUCACUCUCACUCAAAGCAAUACACGCCAAAGGUAUGAGAAGAAUUCUGAAAUUUUGAUUAAAAGCUGCCUCUUACAAUUGUUUCUUAUCCUUAUAUAGUAAGGAGAAAAACAAAUAAAACCCUAAGACACUCUUCUUGGACCUGACUUAAACACAUAAGGCCUAAGCCCAAUCACACACUAAAAUAACACAAAAGUAUUAAAACAUAAGCCCAAAACAUGACCCAACACUCUAAAACUUAAAAGAUAAAGUAUGGCCAGAAUACAAGGCCAAACAAAGCUAAAAUAAAACAAGUGUUAAAUAAUAAAAAUAUAGCAAGCCCAUCAUAACAAAGAUGAAUUUUCACAAAAGCCUUACUUAAUCUUUACUUUAGGCUUCCCUUUGUGUAGUUUUAGCCCAUAGGUUUGAUUAGGCUCCCUAAGUCUAUGAUUGCAAGUGUUGCACCAAAUCUGUCCCAUAUGAGUUGAAGCAUGCCCCAAAUAUAUAUGGAUCAUAUGAAUAUGAUUUUGAACUCCUUUUAGAUCCAUUUGAAUGACAUAAGUUUGCUCCACACCAUUGUUAGAAAUUUGCCCUAUUGGAUCCAUAUCAUACUCUCCUUCUUUAGAAAAGAUUCGUCCUCGAAUCUUGCUGAUAUUUAUGUCAAAAAAGGAAGCUUUAGAAACCCAUGUAUCUUCAAAGACCUCCUUUUGAAUAGGUGGAAAUAGGACAAAACUUUUGUCAUGAAUGUUUUCAUCAACAACCUGCACAUCAAGAACAAAUAAACUAGGCAUAAAAAUAUUAGUCAUAGAAAGGUCCUGUGGAUGUGACCCAUUCUCUUCUACAACUUCCAAAACAGUCUCAUUCGCCUCCUCUACCUCAUCAAUCACGUGCUCCCCAUGUCCCUCAUCAUUCACAACCUCUUCUAUAAGUUCAUUGAUGGAAUUCUCAACAACAACUACAUUAGAUUCAUGCAUUACAACUUCCUCUUCAAUUUCAAUCUCUAUGGAAGUUGAGAUUGGAACUUUAGCCUCUUCUUUCUCCUUUUCUUUCUCCACCUUCCCUCCUUGAACUAGUCUUGAUUCUUUCCUAGCCUCUUUACCCUCAAACUCACUCUUUUCUCUCAUCUUUUCCGCAGAAUUCAAGCUCUCACUCCCCUUUGUGGCCAAGGCCGAAGCCUCCCUCUCUCUCUCCAGCAUCUUUAUUUGAUCAACAUAUACCUCUUGAGGUGAUAAAGGAGCGAGUAUAACCUUCUGUCCUUCAUGAGUGAAGGAGUACUUGUUAUUGAACCCAUCAUGUUGCACCUUUCUAUUAUGUUGCCACGGUCUAUCCAACAACAUAUGGCUUGCCUGCAUAGGUACCACAUCACAUAAGAUCUCAUUCUUGUACCUACCAAUAGAAAAUGGUAUAAUCACCUGGCGUGUAACCCUAACCUCUCCACAAUCAUUCAACCAUUGCAAUCUAUAUGGCUUAGGGUGUUUAAUAGAAGCCAAGCCUAAUUUUUCCACCAUAUACACACUAGCCACAUUUGUGCAACUACCUCCAUCAAUAAUGAGAGUACACACUUUUCCAUUAACUAAACACCUAGUGUGAAAUAUAUUUUCCCUUUGUUCUAGGCUUUCUUCCUUAACCUGCAUAUUCAGAGCAUGCCUAGCAACAAGCAUCUCACAAUGUGCAGCAAGCAACACAUUAUUAACGAACACAUCCGAAUCAUCACAGUCAUUAUUGCAAUUAGGAGUUUUUUGAGGUAUUCUUGUAGAAGUGGAAGCUUGUGAGACAUUCAAACUCUCCAUAGUUUCAGUCAACCUCUCAACGAGCUUAUAAUCGUUACCCAUAUUCGAUUCACUUCCAUCAGUACGAUCUACCACAUUCUUGUCUUUACUCAUCCUACUUUAAAUCAACAAAGAACAAAAAGAACUAGCAAAUAUUGUGUUAAAAAAAAGUACUUAAGUGUUUGUACUCUUACCAUUCUUUUGCUGAUUCUUCAAUUGCACUUCAGAAACUAAGGUCAACCAACCAACCACAAGGUGCGUUUAAUGAAAUAAAGAAGAAAACCUAAAGAAAGAAGGAAGCGCGCAAAAAACUAGAAAGAAGACACUGACAAUUUGGAAAGUAAGACACGAACUAGGUUUUGUGCUACUUGAAAAAUAUCACCUAGAGUAUAGACCCAAGCAAACAAUACUCUAGCAAUGUGAAGGAAGCAAAAGCAAGCUUAAACCAAAAAAGAAACUUAGAAUUCAAAUAAAAAAACGAACCUGAAUAAAAGUUUGAAUUUAAUUCACUUCAAAGCAAAUUAAAUAUGGAUCUAUAUAAAUCUACCCAAAAAGGAAAGUAUCAAAACCCCAUAAAUAGAAUCAGAAAGAAAAAUAUAAAUUUCACUCAGAUCAGAAAUAUGGACGAAAAUUCUGGUUUUAAAAGGAGGAUUUGACAUCAAAUCGAUUUAGAUGCAGUUGCCUUAAAUGUGCACCUUAAGGAAUAGGCAGAUUUUUUUUGUUUCCUAAUCUGGAUUCAACCCAAUUCAAAAUUCAAAAUUGAUUCCCAUAAACUACAGCAAUCAAUUGAGAUAGGUAAGAAAAUAUAGAUGAAAAAGGAAGCAUAUCACAAUUUCGGCCAGAUCAAGAUAAAUAUAGCAAAUGUGAUUUUUUUUUUUUUUUGAUUUCAAAUUUUUUCUUCCAAAAAGAGAUUAUGUGAUAAUUUAUCAAGAAGGUGCAGCCAUGAAUAUGCAAGCUUUCACUGAAGUCAACAAGGAAGAAAAAGAAAACUAAAAAAAAAAACUCUAGAUCCUGAGAUAAAUCAGAACUUACCUCACUUUGGCUCUGAUACCAACUGAUGCGGAACCCUAUGGCACAAGCCUCAAACCCACACGCACAAGUAGAUAUGGAAUCUAAAGAUUUGAUAAAACCACCUUCUAUGGCACCCCACACUUAGAGAAGCUGAAACACGAAUGAUCGAAGGAUUUAGAUGAGAAUCUGACAAACGCCACAAUGAAUAGUUGAUAAGUAAGCCAAGAUUCCUGGUGCAAUUAAUGAAAGCAAAUCCUCACUCUCACUCAAAGCAAUACACGCCAAAGGCAUGAGAAGAAUUCUGAAAUUUUGAUUAAAAGCUGCCUCUUAUAAUUGUUUCUUAUCCUUAUAUAGUAAGGAGAAAAACAAAUAAAACCCUAAGACACUUUUCUUGGACCUGACUUAAACACAUAAGGCCCAAGCCCAAUCACACACUAAAAUAACACAAAAGUAUUAAAACAUAAGCUCAAAACAUGGCCCAACACUCUAAAACUUAAAAGAUAA